AGGGGCGCCAUGUUCCGCCGGCCACGGUGCAGCUCAGAGCCCGACGGCUGCGGGGAGCGCCAGUCCUCCAGCGGCGGCUCCUCGGGCGCUCCCGGCGGCUCCCCCGCCAGCUCCUCGGUCUCCGAGGCAGAGUCCGUAGGAGCGAAAGUAAAGAACUCUCCUUGAAUGAUGGCUUCGCCAGCAGACUGCACUGAACAGAGCAGGUUCCAAUAAAGGUUUGACAGCGAUGCUGCGAAACGAAUGACCUGCCUAAAGACAAAGGGUUGCCUGGAGAUUCCAAAGAUUAAUUUCCUUCCUCAUCAAAUGGAACCAAACCCAACAGCGUGUGGCAAUGGUGAGUGUGCUGAAGCACAGUGCUCAUUACUCCAGGAGCUGCUCAAUGUUUACCUAAGGCUUGCCAGGCCAAAGUCUCCCAGGAAACUUGUCCUUCAAUAAACAGGUCAUCUUUGAAAUA